rnacentral:lncRNA from 1 species
CUCGGUCCCACGAAUGGCAGGCAGCGUCCAAAAUUCAACCCCGUAAAGCCAGCACCAGCCAAUAAAGCGCACGGAUGGAGGCCACGUGACAGCAGUGGGCCGGCCCUCCGGCUGAGCCCUGAUCUCUAUGGUUUCCGCGGCUCGCUAGAAGGAGUGCGGUCCACUGGAGGUCUCCCUACAUUCUUCCUCCAUUAUCUCACUGCCUCCGGUGGCUGCUGGGAUACCGGAGGACUCGGGUCCCGGCUCGACUCAGUCCUCCAGCCGCCCGGGGAAUACCUCUAGUUCUUCCCGGCCGCCGCCGCCUCCGCCCCGCCGCUUCCUCCUCCGCCUGCCGGCCUCCUUCGCCCCGCCCCGUCCGCGCAGCUCGUCCGGCCCGCCCGCAGGCCAGCUUCUCUCGGGAGCCUCCACCCAGGCGCAUGGCUCCAUGAAGCAAGAGGAGGAGGCAGAGCGCGAGAGAUCCCGUCCGCCCCAGCCGCGUCUGGGCCAGGAGAAAAGCAAAACCAUAUUCCUGCUGCUGUCAGUUUUGAUGCACUGAGAAAACUUCAGAGACCUAAGCUUUUUCCAGAGAAGAGAAGCUUUACUGGUGUUCCAGCCCUAAGGCUCAUAUGACAUUAACAGACAAGACACUUUUCAGAAAGACAGAUGGAGUCUCUCUGUCACCCAGACUGGAAUGCAGUGGCAUGAUCUUGGUUCACUGAAACCUCUGCCUUUCUGGUUCAAGCAAUUCUCAUGUUUCAGCCUCCCAGGCAACGUGUUGGACCUUCCGGAGCUUCUCAGAAGACAGAGGGUUUUCUUUUGAGGCUGUUGUACAGUGGCCUGAUUAUAGCUCACUGUAGCCUCGAAAUUCUGGGCCGAAAUGAUCCGCCUGCCUCAGCCUCCAAAGUAGCUGAGACUACAGACAAAUCAACUCAAUCAAAGAAACCAACUCAAAGAAAGAUGGGUCUACAUACAACAAAACUGAACAAAAUCUGCAAGAAGAGUGAUUCAUACAUGGGCUAUUGAGGCAACAUGAGAUGGACAUUAAUCGACUAAGUAAAAAACAGAUUUCUUGAAGAAUUAAUAAAGAACUUUUGUUUUGGAAGUUCUCUAUUGUUUAAAAUUAGCCAGAUGUGGUGGCCUGCACCUACAGUCCCAGCUACUCAGGAGGCUGAGGUGGAAGGAUCACUUGAG